UACGUAGGGACCAAGCGUUGUUCGGAUUUACUGGGCGUAAAGGGCGCGUAGGCGGCGCGGUAAGUCACUUGUGAAAUCUCUGAGCUUAACUCAGAACGGCCAAGUGAUACUGCAAUGCUCGAGUGUGGUAGGGGAGAGCGGAACUCCUGGUGGAGCGGUGAAAUGCGUAGAUAUCAGGAGGAACACCGGUGGCGAAGGCGGCUCUCUGGUCCACAACUGACGCUGAGGUGCGAAAGCGUGGGGAGCAAACAGG
rnacentral:rRNA from 1 species